rnacentral:rRNA from 1 species
GACGAACGCUGGCGGCGUGCCUAAUACAUGCAAGUCGAGCGGAUCUUCAUUAGCUUGCUUUUGAAGAUCAGCGGCGGACGGGUGAGUAACACGUGGGCAACCUGCCUGUAAGACUGGGAUAACUUCGGGAAACCGGAGCUAAUACCGGAUAAUCCUUUUCCUCUCAUGAGGAAAAGCUGAAAGACGGUUUCGGCUGUCACUUACAGAUGGGCCCGCGGCGCAUUAGCUAGUUGGUGAGGUAACGGCUCACCAAGGCGACGAUGCGUAGCCGACCUGAGAGGGUGAUCGGCCACACUGGGACUGAGACACGGCCCAGACUCCUACGGGAGGCAGCAGUAGGGAAUCUUCCGCAAUGGACGAAAGUCUGACGGAGCAACGCCGCGUGAGCGAUGAAGGCCUUCGGGUCGUAAAGCUCUGUUGUCAGGGAAGAACGAGUAUCGGAGUAACUGCCGGUACCUUGACGGUACCUGACCAGAAAGCCACGGCUAACUACGUGCCAGCCGCCGCCGUAAUAC